CCCCCUACUUGCUCAUGGGGUGGUGUGAGAAGCAGAAAAGGCCUUGACUCUGUACAUGAAUACAUAAUGGACCUUAGUGGCUGGAUUUUGCUGACACUCACUUGGGAUUACCUGUAUAAUUCACAGCUUCAUUACUCCUAAACAACAUGGCCAAUGAAAUUAUCACACAGUAGAGAAAUAUGGCAUGAAAACAAGCAAGGAGUCUACAAUUCCUCCUGAAGGACAGUUCGUGGUGAUAACUAGCUAAAACCAACUCUAUAGUUUGGACAAAGACCAAGGAACAACUGAGUCUGCGCGAAGAGGGAAGGUAAAAAGUUCAGAGCAAGGGAGACUACCAAGCCUUCAUCCCCAUGACCCCCACCAAGAGGCACCACGCAAGAGCAGUUGGGAAUGACUUAUGGAAAUGACUUCUUGGAACUAAUUUUAAUAUGAAGCGGGUAUAGGUUGUGAAUAUGUAUAGGCGUAUUUGGAAAUCUUAUGUAUAUGCAACAUUUGAUUGUAUAAAUUGAGGCAAGUUGUUGCCCCUGGCGCGCAAGGCUUUGGUGGGACUACCCCACCCACCCCUACUCCCACCCUGUGCUGCCCACGGCUAAAUAAACAUACC